UGAAAUUAGAAGAGCAAUGGAAGCACGGUUGCUAGGAAUGAGCAGUUGGACUGGAAAGGGCAGGAAGCUGAGGAUUUGGGGAAGGGUGCACGCACAGUACCUGGGUGUGCUGCUUGCUGCUGUAGUGGUGCUGGGAGUGGAAGUCCUCUUGCUGGUAGGCUUUGAGGAAGCAGGUGUGUGCGAGUCCUGGCAGAGAAAGACUCAGCACCAGGAGGAUGGUGAAGGCCUUUUGGGUUCAUGGGAGAAGAUCUGCUGGCAUGUGUUGCCAACAUCUGUUUUCAUUUGAGCUGUCAGAUACGUGUUUCUGAUUCUCUCUGUCAAUAAACCACCCAUGCCUCUGAGGAAAACAAAAGUUUAGAUGUACACUUAGCAGGUGCCCACAUUCCCAGUGACUUUGUAUCUCCCCAGAUUUCCAGGUAACUAGCAAAUGAGAUCUUCUAAGUAUGAGGCUGU